AUACCAGCUCUUCAAGUGGUCGGGAUAAUUAUUGGGCUUAAAGCGUCCGUAGCUGGUUUAGUUAGUUCCUGGUAAAAUCGGGUAGCUUAACUAUCUGUAUGCUAGGAAUACUGCUAUACUAGAGGGCGGGAGAGGUUUGAGGUACUACAGGGGUAGGGGUGAAAUCUUAUAAUCCUCGUAGGACCACCAGUGGCGAAGGCGUCAGACUGGAACGUGCCUGACGGUCAGGGACGAAAGCCAGGGGAGCGAACCGGAUUAGAUACCCGAGUAGUCC
rnacentral:rRNA from 1 species